GAUGAAGAACGUAGCGAAAUGCGAUAAGUAAUGUGAAUUGCAGAAUUCAGUGAAUCAUCGAAUCUUUGAACGCACAUUGCGCCCCCUGGUAUUCCGGGGGGCAUGCCUGUUCGAGCGUCAUUUCAACCCUCGACCUCCCCUUGGGGAGGUCGGCGUUGGGGACCGGCAGCACACCGCCGGCCCUGAAAUGGAGUGGCGGCCCGUCCGCGGCGACCUCUGCGUAGUAAUACAGCUCGCACCGGAACCCCGACGCGGCCACGCCGUAAAACACCCAACUUCUGAACGUUGACCUCGAAUCAGGUAGGACUACCCGCUGAACUUAAGCAUAUCAAUAAGCGGAGGA
rnacentral:misc_RNA from 1 species